rnacentral:rRNA from 1 species
CUACGGGGUGCUCCAGUGGGGAAUAUUGCACAAUGGGCGCAAGCCUGAUGCAGCCAUGCCACGUGUAUGAAGAAGGCCUUCGGGUUGUAAAGUACUUUCAGCGGGGAGGAAGGGAGUAAAGUUAAUACCUUUGCUCAUUGACGUUACCCGCAGAAGAAGCACCGGCUAACUCCGUGCCAGCAGCCGUGGUAAUACGGAGGGUGCAAGCGUUAAUCGGAAUUACUGGGCGUAAAGCGCACGCAGGCGGUUUGUUAAGUCAGAUGUGAAAUCCCCGGGCUCAACCUGGGAACUGCAUCUGAUACUGGCAAGCUUGAGUCUCGUAGAGGGGGGUAGAAUUCCAGGUGUAGCGGUGAAAUGCGUAGAGAUCUGGAGGAAUACCGGUGGCGAAGGCGGCCCCCUGGACGAAGACUGACGCUCAGGUGCGAAAGCGUGGGGAGCAAACAGGAUUAGAUACCCUAGUAGUC